GUGCUCGCUUCGGCAGCACAUAUACUAAAACUGGAACCAUACAGAGAAGAUUAGCAUGGUCCCUGCGCAAGGAUGGCAUGCAAAUUUGUGAAGCACUCCAUUAUUUU
ensembl:snRNA U6 U6 spliceosomal RNA